rnacentral:rRNA from 1 species
UAGGGAAUCUUCCACAAUGGACGCAAGUCUGAUGGAGCAACGCCGCGUGAGUGAAGAAGGUCUUCGGAUCGUAAAGCUCUGUUGUUGGUGAAGAAGGAUAGAGGCAGUAACUGGUCUUUAUUUGACGGUAAUCAACCAGAAAGUCACGGCUAACUACGUGCCAGCAGCCGCGGUAAUACGUAGGUGGCAAGCGUUGUCCGGAUUUAUUGGGCGUAAAGCGAGCGCAGGCGGAAUGAUAAGUCUGAUGUGAAAGCCCACGGCUCAACCGUGGAACUGCGUCGGAAACUGUCAUUCUUGAGUGCAGAAGAGGAGAGUGGAACUCCAUGUGUAGCGGUGGAAUGCGUAGAUAUAUGGAAGAACACCAGUGGCGAAGGCGGCUCUCUGGUCUGCAACUGACGCUGAGGCUCGAAAGCAUGGGUAGCGAACAGGAUUAGAUACCCUGGUAGUCCAUGCCGUAAACGAUGAGCGCUAGGUGUUGGGGACUUUCCGGUCCUCAGUGCCGCAGCAAACGCAUUAAGCGCUCCGCCUGGGGAGUACGACCGCAAGGUUGAAACUCAAAGUGAAUUGAC